UACGUAGGGGGCAAGCGUUGUCCGGAAUCAUUGGGCGUAAAGAGCGUGUAGGCGGCCCGAUAAGUCCGCUGUGAAAGUCCAGGGCUCAACCCUGGGAUGCCGGUGGAUACUGUCGGGCUCGAGUCCGGAAGAGGAGUGUGGAAUUCCUGGUGUAGCGGUGAAAUGCGCAGAUAUCAGGAGGAACACCGAUGGCGAAGGCAGCUCGCUGGGACGGUACUGACGCUGAGGCGCGAAAGCCAGGGGAGCAAACGGG
rnacentral:rRNA from 1 species